UCGGGAAUUUUGGACAAUGGGCGAAAGCCUGAUCCAGCAAUGCCGCGUGCAGGAAGAAGGCCUUCGGGUUGUAAACUGCUUUUGUACGGAACGAAAAGGCUCUUUCUAAUAAAGAGGGCCCAUGACGGUACCGUAAGAAUAAGCACCGGCUAACUACGUGCCAGCAGCCGCGGUAAUACGUAGGGUGCGAGCGUUAAUCGGAAUUACUGGGCGUAAAGCGUGCGCAGGCGGUUCUAUAAGACAGAUGUGAAAUCCCCGGGCUCAACCUGGGAAUGGCAUUUGUGACUGUAGAGCUAGAGUACGGUAGAGGGGGAUGGAAUUCCGCGUGUAGCAGUGAAAUGCGUAGAUAUGCGGAGGAACACCGAUGGCGAAGGCAAUCCCCUGGACCUGUACUGACGCUCAUGCACGAAAGCGUGGGGAGCAAACAGGAUUAGAUACCCCCGUAGUCCCUGAGCGGGCUGGCAAGGCGCAU
rnacentral:rRNA from 1 species